GAGACUCUGUGCGCGUGCAUAUCAAUAAGCGGAGGAAAAGAAACUAACAAGGAUUCCCUUAGUAACGGCGAGUGAAGCGGGAAGAGCUCAAAUUUGAAAUCUUCAAGGUUCUACCCUUGACGAAUUGUAGUUUAUAGAAGUGUUUUCUGUUAGUAGAGUGGCAAAAGUUCUUUGGAAUAGGACAUCAUAGAGGGUGAGAAUCCCGUAUUUUGUCAUUCUUUCUAGCUUUGUGAUACACUUUCAACGAGUCGGAUUGUUUGGGAAUGCAGUCCAAGAUGGGUGGUAAAUUUCAUCUAAAGCUAAAUAUUGGCGAGAGACCGAUAGCGAACAAGUACCGUGAGGGAAAGAUGAAAAGAACUUUGAAAAGAGAGUUAAACAGUACGUGAAAUUGUCAAAAGGGAAGCGUCUGACACCAGUGUUGUUUUUCCGAAAAUCAAUUACGAAUGUUUUGUUUUUGAGAAGUUAUGACUUCAUCGGCUUGCUCCUUUCUUUACGAAACUUUCUUAAUGCACUUUUCGGUUAACAAGUCAACAUCAAUUUCUUUUGUUGUAAAGGGUAUGAGGAAGGUGGCUUUCUUUUCGGAGAAAGUGUUUAUAGCCUUGUACCUCUGCAAUCGGAGAGAUUGAGGUCUGCAGCGUAGAUCCUUCGGGGUUAGAUACAUUUGUGCUAAGUUAUAGCUUUUCAUAGACAACUUGUUGACUAUGAUUAAGUCAUUGUAGCUUACUCGCUUAUGUCUAUUUUACCUACGCUUAGGAUGUUGACGAUCAGCUGAGCGCG
rnacentral:rRNA from 1 species